CCAAACUUGGUCAUUUAGAGGAAGUAAAAGUCGUAACAAGGUUUCCGUAGGUAAGUAGGAUCGGCUUUGCUUCUCUGUUUCCGUUGAAUUUGUGCUAAUUCGGUUUUAGGUGAACCUGCGGAAGGAUCAUUACCGAGUUAGGGUCUCCAAGGCCCGACCUCCAACCCUUUGUCUACCUUAACCACUUGUUGCUUCGGCGGGCCCGUCUUUAACUAGACCGCCAGGGGAUUUACUCCCCCUGGCCCGUUGUCCGCCGAUGGCCUUCCACAAGACUCUUGAUGAAUUUGUGCCGUCUGAGAAUUAAACGUAAUACAAUUAAAAACUUUCAACAACGGAUCUCUUGGUUCUGGCAUCGAUGAAGAACGCAGC
rnacentral:misc_RNA from 1 species